GAUGAACGCUGGCGGCGUGCCUAAUACAUGCAAGUCGAGCGAACAGACGCGGAGCUUGCUCCUCUGACGUUAGCGGCGGACGGGUGAGUAACACGUGGAUAACCUCCUUAUAAGACUGGGAUAACUUCGGGAAUCCGGAGCUAAUACCGGAUAAUAUAUUGAACCGCAUGGUUCAAUAGUGAAAGUCGGUUUUGCUGGCGGUUGUAGAUGGAUCUGCGCCGCAUUAGCUAGUUGGUAGGGUAGGGGCUUACCAAGGCAACGAUGGGUAGCCGGCGUGAGAGGGGGACAGGCGAAAGGGGGAGUGAGAUACGGCCCAGAAGCGGACGGGAGGAAGCAGUGGGGAAUAUUGCACAAUAGGCGGAAGCAUGAUGCAGCAAAGCCGAGUGCGGGAUGACGGCCUGCGGGUUGUAAACCGCUGUCGCCGGGGAAGAAGCGUGAGUGACGGUAAUGGGUAAAGAAGCACCGGCUAACUACGUG
rnacentral:rRNA from 1 species